UACGAAGGGGGCUAGCGUUGUUCGGAAUUACUGGGCGUAAAGCGUAUGCAGGCGGAUCGUUAAGUCGGGGGUGAAAUCCCGAGGCUCAACCUCGGAACUGCCUUCGAUACUGGCGAUCUUGAGUCCGGGAGAGGUGAGUGGAACUGCGAGUGUAGAGGUGAAAUUCGUAGAUAUUCGCAAGAACACCAGUGGCGAAGGCGGCUCACUGGCCCGGUACUGACGCUGAGGUGCGAAAGCGUGGGGAGCAAACAGG
rnacentral:rRNA from 1 species